AGUGAACGCUGGCGGUAGGCCUAACACAUGCAAGUCGAACGGCAGCACAGUAAGAUCUUGCUCUUACGGGUGGCGAGUGGCGGACGGGUGAGGAAUACAUCGGAAUCUACUUUUUCGUGGGGGAUAACGUAGGGAAACUUAAGCUAAUACAGCAUACGACCUACGGGUGAAAGCAGGGGAUCUUCGGACCUUGCGCGAAUGAAUGAGCCGAUGUCGGAUUAGCUAGUUGGCGGGGUAAAGGCCCACCAAGGCGACGAUCCGUAGCUGGUCUGAGAGGAUGAUCAGCCACACUGGAACUGAGACACGGUCCAGACUCCUACGGGAGGCAGCAGUGGGGAAUAUUGGACAAUGGGCGCAAGCCUGAUCCAGCCAUACCGCGUGGGUGAAGAAGGCCUUCGGGUUGUAAAGCCCUUUUGUUGGGAAAGAAAAGCAGCAGGUUAAUACCCCGCUGUUCUGACGGUACCCAAAGAAUAAGCACCGGCUAACUUCGUG
rnacentral:rRNA from 1 species